ACCCUUCGGUGAUUGAAGGACCAACAUUGACAGCUGAGAUCCAGUCGGCUUUACAGAACACAGCAGAUCCAACCAGGCUGACUUUCACCAUGAAGGGCAAAAUGUCUCUGCCUGUUCUCACAGUCUGGAUCCUCGUCGCUGUAGCUGCUGUCAAUUUGUUCCAAGGCGCUGAAGGCCAUUGUUAUGUUUGCCCACCUUGCUGUACCCAAGGGUCACACAAGGUCGACGAGAAAAUCGUAAAUUGUUUCGAACAAAAACCAGGACACGCCUGUCACAAACACUUCUAUAUCGUCGUUGUCGAAGGUGGUAAACAACGUUGCAUCGACCCAACAUCCCACUGGCUUAAAGAAAAGAUACAUAAGGAAAACCUAAAGUGCCUUCCAGCUGAUGGGUAGAAAUCAUAAGGCUGCAGCAAAAACAAGACAAGAAAAAGCUUCAACUUCCCUUCUUUACUAACCACUUCAAGACAAAAACUUAACCAUUUAAAAAAAGACUGUGUUUUAUAAAAACUACCUAUGCGCCAAUCAGUUGGUCAGGGGUCAAACAGCGACCAGUUUUCCUUUGAGCAGCUCUGACCUGUGAUCAGAAAGUUAAACAAUAAAUAAACAGAUUAUUUUUCCUGUAACUUAACUGUCGCCUAACUGAAAAUACCAGAAUUUAUCGUCAUGUAAACUGUUGUUUACAGCAUGUUCGUUGAUGUGCCAUGUUUUAAAUGUGAUAAAAAGUUUCAUGAAAGUCAGGGACAGACGCUUUGAACCAGAAAAGAGGACAUAGCUUGUAAGUAUCAAAACUACUAUUUUUGUAACCUCCAGAUCAAUGCCUUUUCUUUUUGUUCUCAAUGCUUAAUACAUGUAUUUGCUGAAUUAGAAGAGCCUGGUGGGUGCAUGUCUAAAUAAAGUGUUUUACGUGUUUGCAGAAUUACAAGUUCCAGCAGAAUCUUCACCUUUAAGAAAAUAAAAUGCAUUCAUACAAACUGA